GAGAAACAGGACUAGCGGAUCCUCCCCUGCACGCGGGCUGGAGGCACACCGCUCCUCUGCCGUCCUUCUCGGCUGCUCUGGAGACACGGGUCCUGGGCAGGCGAGCCAGCACCUGGCUAAUCUGAAGUAACAGCAGGUCAGUGGGCAGGGUGGGGUCAGACCCAGGGCGAGCGAGGACGACAGCCCCGCUUGAGGGUGACGCUCAGGAAAACGUGAGUGUGUCGGCUCCGGGUGGGCAUCCAGGACUUUACAUCUUAAUGGCAAUGGGCCCCUGGCACCCCGGGGCCACCAUGCACAGCUGUGUAGGCUGUGCACUACACAAGAGUACUGUGGCAAAAUAUCAUAGAUUUGCACAUUUAUUGCAACAACUUUCCUGCAGCCAAGCUGUUUCUUUCUGUUAAAGCCAGAAUAUCGCCACCAUUUUCCAACAUGGAAGUGUCUUGAAAAAAGGCAUCUUUUUCUAAAUCUUGCAGUGAUGCUGUAUGAAUAGCAGCCACCCCGCUUCCACCCGACCUGAGCAGGCGGCGUAACAUGAACACAUGCUAAUGCAUUCCCACCUCCUGACGCAUGAACUGUGAUCCAUGCUGCCUGCAGAUUAUAAACCUCACUCCCACUGCAGGUCUCUUGCUUUCCUUGCACUUCGCCCGCUCCUCCCCCAGGCCCCAUUACCAGACCUUGCUUGUCCUUCUACGCGUUCAUCUGAACCAACACCCAUGCCUUAGAGUCUCUUUGCACUCUAGGUACAAGCCUCAAACCAGAAUUCAGAGUCCUUUUGGGCUUCAGCUAAACCCACAGGGGGACAACCCAACGAGGCCAGUCCCUGGCUGCUGGGCUGUUUGUGGCCAGGCAGACGAGGAGUCCUUCGAUGCAGAGGGUGCCCCGGUAUCCUGUCCGUGGUUCUACCCUGUGGUAGAACAGCAUGACGUAACCUACCAUAGGGUAAAACCACUGGCAGGACACAGAGAGACGGACACACACAGGGCGGGAGCCACACCAGAAGCCCACCAAGCAGAGCCUGGAGAGGAGGUCACCACGGUCACCACGGGAAAGACAGCCAUCGAUCCACGGGGGCCAACACAGAGGGCAAAGCCACCAACGAACAGAGGACCAGCAGCAAGUUAACCCACCACCAAGCGAGAUGUCCCCACUCCGAGAUAGGGGAUCAAGUUCUCAGUGCAGACUGGGAGCUGCCUGGCCGGCCCCUCCGGAGCCACACACAGGCAUGAGGAUGAAUGGAGCUCAGUCUCGGCUUGAGAAAACAUUGGUGGAGCUCAACUGCCAACGAACCCCCUUUCACGGCCACCCUCCACCCCCCGCUGAAAGGACAGAGAAACUUUCUUUCCAAGGUGGCAGCACAAGCAACUCUUCCAAAGAGACCCUCCAAGUCAAAGUUCUUCCUCUGCAGGCCCAGAAUGAUGCUGCUAAAAUGAGAGGCAGGUAAGCUGAACAAAAGACCAAGCAGACGUGAACUCCGGGAUCUUCCCUUUCACAUACCAAGCAUCUUGGUCAACCUACAGGACCUACGUGGUACUUGUUAGAGAAGAAAAAAGAUCCCUUUAAUGGAUUCUUUUUUAACUUGAGAAGUUGGAUAAGCAGGAAGACAGAAUCAUGUGAGACUCCUAAAAUGUGUCCUUGUCGUGAAGUCAAAGGACCACCCAAGCAAAUGGCAGGUAAGGUCUUUGGGGCCCAGCUCAUGAAGAACAAUUUCUGAAACGCAGAGGAUGACCAGAUCCCAUCCCAUUUUGAAACAUGCCAGAACCGGAUGCCAGGCAUGAUUGAAAGGGGUUAUAGAGUGGGAGGCCUGGCAUAAGGACUCAGGCAGUGCUGCACCUGGUGGACCACCAGGGCAUUUCAGCUGCUCUUUCUUGUGACAGGGAUUAAAUGUUGUGGACCAGCUCACAAAGUUUCCAACCUCCAAUCCACCACGUCCUAUGAGGGUUCUACACAGAUCCCAAGCUCCAUAUUCAAGGUGCUCUGAGAAAAUGCAGAGUUCCAACUUGGGAAUCCUACUCUUUCCUCCUCAAAAGGCCGUGUGUCUGGGCUCCCUCCAGCCACCAUGUUACUGGUGGAAGCUCUGAUGGAGUGGAGACUCAAAAGGUGGGGCUAAGAGGGUUCACAGUACGGGAAACCAUAGACAGUUCAUUUGGGACCACUAUGAAUUCUGGAGUAGAACAUUUAAAUGCUAUUCUGUAGAUAAUGACCACAAAAGUUUUUGAGCCAGUGAUAAAAAAUGACAGUAAUUGCCCUAACCGGUUUGGCUCAGUGGAUAGAGCGUCCGCCUGCAGACUCAAGGGUCCCAGGUUCAA